UACGAAGGGGGCUAGCGUUGUUCGGAAUCACUGGGCGUAAAGCGCACGUAGGCGGAUGUGCCAGUCAGGGGUGAAAUCCCGGAGCUCAACUCCGGAACUGCCUCUGAUACAGCACGUCUUGAGUUCGAGAGAGGUGGGUGGAAUUCCUAGUGUAGAGGUGAAAUUCGUAGAUAUUGGGAAGAACACCGGUGGCGAAGGCGGCGAGCUGGUCCAUUACUGACGCUGAGGCGCGACAGCGUGGGGAGCAAACAGG
rnacentral:rRNA from 1 species